AGCCAUGCCGCGUGUAGUGAAGAAGGCCUUAUGGUUGUAAAGCACUUUAAGCGAGGAGGAGGCUACUGAGACUAAUACUCUUGGAUAGUGGACGUUACUCGCAGAAUAAGCACCGGCUAACUCUGUGCCAGCAGCCGCGGUAAUACAGAGGGUGCGAGCGUUAAUCGGAUUUACUGGGCGUAAAGCGUGCGUAGGCGGCUUUUUAAGUCGGAUGUGAAAUCCCCGAGCUUAACUUGGGAAUUGCAUUCGAUACUGGGAAGCUAGAGUAUGGGAGAGGAUGGUAGAAUUCCAGGUGUAG
rnacentral:rRNA from 1 species